UACAGAGGGUGCGAGCGUUGUUCGGAAUUAUUGGGCGUAAAGGGCGCGUAGGCGGUGCGGUAAGUCACCUGUGAAAUCUCCUGGCUCAACUGGGGAGGGUCACGCGAUACUGCUCGACUCGAAGGCAGGAGAGGGAAGUGGAAUUCCCGGUGUAGUGGUGAAAUGCGUAGAUAUGACAUAGAACACCAAUUGCGAAGGCAGCCCGCUGCACGGUUAUUGACACUGAGGCACGAAAGCGUGGGGAUCAAACAGG
rnacentral:rRNA from 1 species